rnacentral:tRNA from 2 species
GCUACUGUAGCUCAGUCGGUAGAGCACCUCAUUGGUAAUGAGGAGGUUCGGCAGUUCAAGUCUGCUCAGUAGCUCCA